rnacentral:rRNA from 1 species
GACGCUGGCGGCGUGCUUAAUACAUGCAAGUCAACUUGACUUUAGAUAGCAAUAUCGAAAGUAGGGUGGCGCACGGGUGCGUAACGCGUAGGUAAUCUGCCCUGAGGUCUGACAUAACCCGUCGAAAGGCGGGCUAACAUCAGAUGAUAUAUAGUCACGACAUCGUGGAAAUAUCAAAUCUUCGGAGCCUUGGGAUGAGCCUGCGUCUGAUUAGGUAGUUGGCGGAGUAAUAGCCCACCAAGCCUACGAUCAGUAGCUGGGUCUGAGAGGAUGAUCAGCCACACUGGAACUGAGACACGGUCCAGACUCCUACGGGAGGCAGCAGUAAGGAAUAUUGCUCAAUGGGGGAAACCCUGAAGCAGCAACGCCGCGUGAAGGAUGAAAUACUUUUGUAUGUAAACUUCUGUAAGAUGGGAAAAAUAUUCUCCUCGGGAGAAUUGAUUGUACCAUCAGAGUAAGCCCCGGCUAACUACAUG